AGAUGGAUUAAAGACUUAAAUGUAAAGCCAAAACUAUGAAAAUCCUAGAAGAAAACCUAGGCAAUACCAUUCAGGACAUAGGCACGGGCAAAAAUUUCAUGUCGAAAACAUCAAAAGCAAUUUCGACAAAAGCAAAAAUUGACAAAUGGGAUCUAGUUAAACUGAAGAGCUUUUGCACAGCAAAAGAAACUAUCAACAGAGUGAACAGACAACCUACAGAAUGGGAGAAAAUUUUUGCAAUCUACCCAAAGGUCUGAUAUCCAGAAUCUACAAGGAACUUAAGCAAAUUUACAAGAGAAAAACAAACGAUCCCUUAAAACGUGGGCAAAGGAUAUGAACAGACACUUCUCAAAAAAAGACAUAAUGUGGCCCACAAACAUAUGGAAAAAAGCUCAACAUCACUGAUCAUUAAAGAAAUGCAAAUCAAAACCACAGUGAGAUACCCUCUCACGCCAGUCAGAAUGGUAAUUAUUAAAAAGUCAAGAAACAACAGAUGCUGGUGAGGUUGCAGAGAAAUAGGGAUGCUUUUACACUGUUGAUGGGAAUGUAAAUAGUUCGACCAUUGUGGAAGACAGUGUAGCGAUUCCUCAAAUAUUUAGAACCAGAAAUACCAUUUGACCCAGCAAUCCUAUUACUGGGUAUAUACUCAAAGGAAUAUAAAUCAUUCUGUUAUAAAGAUACAUGCAUGCAUAUGUUCACUGCAGCACUAUUCACAAUAGCAUAGACAUUGAAUUAACCCAAAUGCCCAUCAGUGAUAGAAUGCAUAAAGAAAAUGUGCUACAUAUACACCACGGAAUACUGUGCAGUCAUUAAAAGAAAUGAGAUCAUGUCUUUUGCAGGGACAUGGAUGAAGCUGAAAGCCAUUAUCUUCAGCAAACUAACACGGGAACAGAAAACCAAAUACUGCAUGUUCUCAUAUAAGCAGAACUACAAAACACUGCUCAAAGAAAUCAGAAAUGACACAAACAAAUGGAAAAACAUUCCAUGCUCAUAGAUAGGAAGAAUCAAUAUCAUUAAAAUGGCCGUACUGCCAAAAGCAAUUUAUAGAUUCAACGUUAUUCCUAUUUAAUUACUAUUGACAUUCUUCAAGAGUUAGAAAAACUAUUUUAAAAUUCAUAUGGAGCCAGAAAAGAGCCCGAAUAGCCAAGGCAAUCCUAACCAAAAAGAGCAAAGCUACCCAACUUCAAACUACACUACAG
rnacentral:lncRNA from 1 species